UUUGUAGUAUAAGUGUGUCCUAGGCAAUAUUUGGGAUAUACUUAUACUUGAA
rnacentral:pre_miRNA from 1 species